rnacentral:rRNA from 1 species
CAGUCGCCGCGGGAAUACGAAGGGGGCAGCGUUGUUCGGAAUUACUGGGCGUAAAGCGCACGUAGGCGGAUAUUUAAGUCAGGGGUGAAAUCCCAGAGCUCAACUCUGGAACUGCCUUUGAUACUGGGUAUCUUGAGUAUGGAAGAGGUGAGUGGAAUUCCGAGUGUAGAGGUGAAAUUCGUAGAUAUUCGGAGGAACACCAGUGGCGAAGGCGGCUCACUGGUCCAUUACUGACGCUGAGGUGCGAAAGCGUGGGGAGCAAACAGGAUUAGAUACCCCAGUAGUCCCUGUCUCUUAUACA